rnacentral:rRNA from 1 species
GAUGAACGCUAGCGGCAGGCCUAAUACAUGCAAGUCGAACGGUAACAUGAGUAGCUAUACUUGAUGACGAGUGGCGCACGGGUGCGUAACGCGUAUGCAAUCUACCUUUAACUGGUGAAUAGCCCGAAGAAAUUCGGAUUAAUACACCAUAGUAUAGUUGAAUGGCAUCAUUUAACUAUUAAAACUCCGGUGGUUAAAGAUGAGCAUGCGUGACAUUAGCUAGUUGGUGAGGUAAUGGCUCACCAAGGCUACGAUGUCUAGGGGAUCUGAGAGGAUUAACCCCCACACUGGUACUGAGACACGGACCAGACUCCUACGGGAGGCAGCAGUGAGGAAUCUUGGACAAUGGGCGAAAGCCUGAUCCAGCAAUGCCGCGUGCGUGAAGAAGGCCUUCGGGUUGUAAAGCGCUUUUGUCUGGGAGCAAAUCCUGGCCUCUAAUACAGGUCGGGGAUGAGAGUACCAGAAGAAUAAGGACCGGCUAACUACGUGCCAGCCGCCGCCGUAAUAC